rnacentral:rRNA from 1 species
UACGGAGGGUGCAAGCAUUGAUCGGAAUUACUGGGCGUAAAGGGCGCGUAGGCGGCUCGAUAAGUCGGAUGUGAAAUUCCGGGGCUCAACCCCGGAGCGGCAUUUGAAUCUGUCGAACUAGAGUACAGUUAGGGUAAACGGAAUUCCUCGUGUAGCGGUGAAAUGCGUAGAUAUGUGGAAGAACACCGGUGGCGAAAGCGGUUCUCUAGCUAAUAACUGACGCUGAGGCGCGAGAGCAAGGGGAGCAAACAGG